GGUGGGUUGGCCGAGCGGUUGAAGGCACUAGUCUUGAAAACUAGCAAGGGGGGCAACCCCUUCCAGGGUUCGAAUCCCUGACCCACCGCCA
rnacentral:tRNA from 1 species